UACAGAGGGUGCAAGCGUUGUUCGGAAUUACUGGGCGUAAAGAGUUCGUAGGCGGUUUGUCGCGUCGUUCGUGAAAACUUGGGGCUUAACUCCAAGCGUGCGGGCGAUACGGGCAGACUUGAGUACUACAGGGGAGACUGGAAUUCCUGGUGUAGCGGUGAAAUGCGCAGAUAUCAGGAGGAACACCGGUGGCGAAGGCGGGACUCUGGGCCGAUACUGACGCUGAGGAGCGAAAGCGUGGGUAGCAAACAGG
rnacentral:rRNA from 1 species